ACUUCGGCUCAGUUCAACUCUAGGCCUGAAAGAUCCCCGAAGAGAGACCCUUACUCAAGUCUCGGGAAAUCGCGGACCCCAGACACAGAGAGACCA
rnacentral:pre_miRNA from 14 species